UGGUGUGUGCAUCCCAAACUUAUAUUGGUAUUCCUCUAGGUGGUUUUCACGCGCUGCCAGAUACCAAGGCUGCUAAUCCCACUCUUUCGUUCUAGUCAAUUUCAUUUAUAUUGGUAUUUCUCUGGGUGGUUUCCACGCGCUGACAGUUACCAAAACUGAUAAUCCUAGUCUUUCAUUCUAGUCCAUUUCAUUUGCUUCAAAUUUGAGAAACUCUCCAGAGGAGAAAGAGUGAGUGAAGGAAUGAGGGAAGAGGUCAUCAGUUCUGGAGGCACCAUUGAUCCAGCACCUGCUGCCAGUUCUGCUGGGGCGUCAUCCCCAGCCGUUCCAAUGAAUGUUGGCAGUAUAGAUGGGUCAAGUCAUGGACAAGUCUCUAAAGCAGCUUCUCUCUCGUGUGUUGGUUCACAACCACCAUGGACUUCCUUGAGCACAAGUGCUGGUGGGUCUUCCAGAUCUUGUAGACCUUGGGAAAGGGGAGAUUUAUUAAGACGCUUGGCUACAUUUAUUCCUAUAAAUUGGCUUGGGAAGCCUAAGAUCAUCAGUUCGUUGGCUUGUGCACAAAAAGGCUGGAUAAACAAUGGUGUUGACAAAAUUGCUUGUGAAUCAUGUGGUGCUUGCCUGUGUUUUACAGCAUUGUCAUCUUGGACAUCAGCUGAAGCUCAAAAUGCCAGCGAAUCCUUUGCUAGGCAGCUGGAUUCGGGCCAUAAGGUAAAUUGCCCUUGGAAGGGAAACAAUUGUCCGGAAAGCUUAGUACAAUUCCCUCCAACACCUCCAUCUGCUUUAAUUGCGGGUUACAAGGAUAGAUGUGAUGGACUCGUACAAUUUCAGCGUCUUCCUGUCAUAGCCAUCUCUGCUAUUGAGUUGAUGUCUGCUUCUCGUGGUCCACAGAUUGAACGCUUUCUAUCGCAGUCUCAGAAUUUUAUGUCAAGAGAAGUAUGUAUUAAACCAGAAAUUAUAUCUGAGUUUGACAACUCUCAAGAUGAGGCAUACUGUCUGUAUACUCGUGCACAGAAACUUAUAAGCCUUUGUGGGUGGGAACCAAGGUGGCUUUUAAAUGUUCAAGAUUGUGAAGAACACUCUGCUCAAUCUGAAAGAAAUGGAUAUUCUUUCGGCCCUAGCAAGACUCAAAUUCAUCUUACCCAAGAUCCUGGGUCAAAGGCAGUUUCUGCUUCUACUAAAUUGGAUGCUAGAAAGGGAAAGGCAUCUGUCAAUGAGACUACACUUGACUCAAAGACACCAUUGCUUGAUUGUAGCUUAUGUGGUGCUGCAGUUAGAAUUUCAGAUUUUUUAUCAGUUCCUUGUCCUACUCGUUUUGUACCUAACAGUAUAGAUAUUCUUGAUGCUAGUAAAAAAUUAGGAUUGACUCGAGGAGCGAGUGCAGCAAGUGGAAUCAGUGGUUGGAUUGCAGCUGAUGAUACAGAAAAAGAUCAGAUUGAUGACCGUGAUGAAGUAGCAACAACAAAUGAGGGGAAAUUGGUUGCAAAUGAUGAUUUGGAUUUGAAUCUUACCAUGGCAGGGGGUUUUCCUUUUACUCCUUUGGGCAGGACGGCAACAUCUGAAUAUACUCAUGAUGAAGAUAUGGGAAGGGACUUAAUGAUCGGCCAGCCUUCUGGGAGUGAGAUUGGUGAUCGUGCAGCUUCAUAUGAAUCAAGAGGACCAAGCUCUCGUAAGAGAAAUUUUGAAAAAGGUGGAAGCUCAGAUGAACGCCCAAUUCUUAGGUUGCAGCAGCAGGCUGAUAGUGUAGAAGGAACUGUCAUUGAUCGUGAUGGAGAUGAAGUUACAGAUGGUGGACAAUAUUCAGCUGGUCCAUCAAAACGAGCACGUGAUUCUGAUAUUUUUGACCCUUACUGUUCACCUCGUCAAAGAGACUCAUCUGGUGCAGGUCCGAGUCAUUCAAGGGGUUUUGAGACUCAUGUUAGUGGAAAUCGAGUUUCUUCAAACCCUCAAGGUAGUGAUCGUCCUAUAGGAAUCCAAUCUACUAGGGACUCAACCCGUGCAUCGUCUGUCAUUGCAAUGGACACAAUAGGUCAUAGUGUGAAUGAUGAUUCUAUGGAAAGUGUUGAAAACUACCCUGGAGACCUUGAUGAUGUUCAUUUCCCCUCCUCUAGCACAUAUGGCAAUGUGGAUAUGAAUGAAACCUCCGAACUGAAUAACAGCAAUCUAGCUCAGCAAAGCACUUGCUUACAAACUGCUACUGAAGUUGUCCCUGGUGAAGUGGGUGUCAGUAGUACAAACUAUGGGGAAGAACAUUUUAAUGCAGAAACUGUGACUGCCCAGGCUCGAGAUGGAAUUAGUUUGGGCAUCAGUGGAGGGAGUGUUGGAAUGUGUGCUAGUCAUGAAGCUGAAAUCCACGGGGCUGAUAUAUCUGUGCACAGAGCUGAUAGUGUUGUUGGUGAAAUGGAACAGAGAGCAGAAGAUGCUGAACAUCAGGGACAAACAGGUGAAUAUGUUCCAGAUCCAGGUCUGAUGGAUGAGAUUAUCCCUGAUGAGAUGAACAGGGAAGAUCCUAUUGGUGAUAGCCAGGAGAUGAUGUCUCACUCUGCAGGAAGAACAGAUAGUGGUUCAAAAAUUGGCUGUUCUACAAAGGCAGAAUCUGUUGAAAGUGGUGAAAAGAUUAGUCAAAACUGCAAUCUUCUGCCUGCUAAUAGUGAUCACCCAUCUCGUUCUUGUAAUGCUAAUAUUUAUUCAGGUUGUGAAAAUACCAAGGAAGAGAUCAUGAAGGAUGGUAAAUCUUCAUUUGCCAACAAUAGUUCUCUCCCUGAAUCCGAUUUUGCCAUUGCAAAUGGGAUAGGCCCUCCAAAAGGAGAGAGUAAUUAUGAAGCUGCAGAGUUUGAUCCUAUUGCCUAUCACAAUCAAUGUUGCCCUUGGGUAAAUGGCAAUGUUGCUGCAGCUGGCUGUGCUAGUUCUGUUAUGAGAACAAGUAGUGAUGCAAUCGCCCUUUCCGGUUGGCAGCUGACUUUAGAUGCUUUGGAUGCUUUGCAAUCACUAGAGCACAAUGUAAUACCAACUGCACCGUCUGAGUCUGCUGCGUCCUUGUACAAGCAGAAUGACCAGCAAGCACCUGGUAAAAAACUCUUUCGCAAUCACUCUCUGAGCAGAAGCCAUGGUCAACUUUGAGAUUUUAAUUUGAGUAUUGGGUGUUUCCAUUUCUUUGUAAGUGGGAUUGUAGAAGCGUAUUCGACCAAUCUAUUCUCGAGGUAUUCUUGCAUAUUUCAGCGAGUUUGUAGGGGACGUGUUACUACUUUUCUCCCUCCUAUGCCAUAACGGAAACAGAGAUCAGAUUGUCAAAGAUGCAGUAGAAGCUGUAGAAGAUCCACUUGCAAGCGUCUACAAUACUAUACCAGUGAAGAAGCCCACAACAAACACCAACAAUUUUGGCAUAUUGCUUCUUGCACUCCCUUAAUUACUAACCGCACCCCACAGUAAGAGAAAAAGAUUUAAACACUGUCGCUGUAGCCAUCAUCACUGCUGCUGUAGAGGGAGAAGUGAGAGAAUGCUGCGGGUAAAGAAGAAAAGAAGAAAUGCUGAAAAAUUUAUUUCGGAAAGCUUUUUUUGGAAUGUAUUCCAUGUAUUUCGAGAAAUUUCUUUCGAGAAUAUAUUUAAUAUAUUUAAUGUGGGAAGAUGUUAUAUGCAUUU